rnacentral:rRNA from 1 species
UACGAAGGGGGCGAGCGUUGUUCGGAUUUACUGGGCGUAAAGGGCGCGCAGGCGGUUCUGUUUGUCGAGUGUGAAAGCCCCGGGCUCAACCUGGGAACUGCGCUCGAAACGGCGGAACUAGAGUUCGGGAGAGGAGAGUGGAAUUCCCAGUGUAGAGGUGAAAUUCGUAGAUAUUGGGAAGAACACCGGUGGCGAAGGCGGCUCUCUGGACCGAUACUGACGCUCAUGCACGAAAGCGUGGGGAGCAAACAGG